rnacentral:rRNA from 1 species
ACCGGGGGGAUGACUUGGGGCUAGGGGUGAAAGGCCAAUCAAAUUCCGUGAUAGCUGGUUCUCUCCGAAAUGCAUUUGGGUGCAGCGUCGGGUCAUUACGUCCCGGGGGUAGAGCUACUGGAUGCUUGCGGGCCCGUAUCGGGUACCAACAGCAACCAAACUCCGAAUACCGGUGACGCGUAUCCCGGCAGUGAGUCGGCGGGGGAUAAGCUUCGUCGUCGAAAGGGAAACAGCCCAGACCGUCGUCUAAGGUCCCGAAGCGUGUGCUAAGUGGGAAAGGAUGUGGAGUCGCAUAGACAGCCAGGAGGUUGGCUCAGAAGCAGCCACCCUUGAAAGAGUGCGUAACAGCUCACUGGUCUAGUGGUUCCGCGCCGACAAUGUAGCGGGGCUCAAGCACACCACCGAAGACGCGGCAGUAUUUUGUACUGGGUAGGAGAGCGUCCCAUGAGGGGCGAAGCGGCCGUGUGAACGCGCCGUGGACUUCAUGGGAGUGAGAAUGCAGACAUGAGUAGCGAGAGACGGGUGAAGAUCCCGUCCGCUGGAUGACCAAGGGUUCCAGGGCCACGUUCAUCGUCCCUGGGUGAGUCGGGUCCUAAGGCGAGGCCGACAGGCGUAGUCGAAUGGAUGAACGGGUCGAUAUUCCCGUACCGGCUUUCAGCCGCCAAAACCGAGGCUUGGAGUACUAACCUCCGGGUCCGGGCUUACUGCUCCUUCGGGGGCGGGAUGCCCUGGCCUGUUGGGACCGAUCCUUGUAGUAGGUCAGCGCAGGAGUGACGCAGAAGGGUAGCCGGCCGCGGAGGUGGUCUUCCGUGGUCAAGCACGCAGGGCGUGGGACAGGCAAAUCCGUCCCGCAUGGGUCCGAGGUGCGAUGAUGGGGGCCUUAUGGCCCGAUAUCCGGUGAUCCCGGCUGCCGAGAAAAGCUUCGGCGUCAGGCUCGAAGCCGCCCGUACCCCAAACCGACACUGGUGGUCAGGUAGAGAAUACCAAAGCGAUCGAGCGAAUCCUGGUCAAGGAACUCGGCAAAUCACUCCCGUUCCUUCGGUUUAAGGGAGACCCCCGAUGGUGAACCGCCUCGCGCGGGGAGCUUUUGGGGGUGGCACAGACCAGGGGGUAGCGACUGUUUACCAAAAACACAGGUGCAUGCGAAGGCGCAAGCCGCUGUAUAUGCACUGACGCCUGCCCGGUGCCGGAAGGUUAAGAGGAUCCGUCAGCCUUCGGGUGAAGCGGUGAAUUCAAGCCCCGGUAAACGGCGGUGGUAACUAUAACCAUCCUAAGGUAGCGAAAUUCCUUGUCGGGUAAGUUCCGACC